UUAAUUUUCCAAGAAACAUAGCACAAAGAGUAGUGAUUUAUCUGGGUCCAAGCCCAUUGCUGUCCAAGCAUUUCUUUGAGUAGAGUCACAGUGUUGCCUAAAUCUUGUCCUGCAAGCAAAGCCAGAUGCACAACAUAGAGUGAGUUUGGGAGCGAUGAAGCAUGAAACAUCACUUUGGCAAUUAGUAUUCUCACAAGAAUAUAUGAUUUAUACCCGGACUGGGUAACAUUGAAACCCAAGAAAUUGAAAACUACCCAGAAAAAAACCACACCAUUCCAACGAAAUCCAAAUAUCUGGGGCUCAUCCAGGAUAAAAACCUCAUCUCUGUGACCCUGGGAGAUUUUGAGAGGGUGGUGUGCCCUUCCAUGUUUGGUGGCUUGAUUGACUUGUCUUCUGGUCACCAGUUAAGUAGCAGGUUAACAUCCCAAAGACAGCAAAAGACUAAAUAAUGAAA